rnacentral:rRNA from 1 species
AGUGAACGCUGGCGGUAGGCCUAAUACAUGCAAGUCGAACGGCAGCACAGUAAGAGCUUGCUCUUACGGGUGGCGAGUGGCGGACGGGUGAGGAAUACAUCGGAAUCUACUUUUUCGUGGGGGAUAACGUAGGGAAACUUACGCUAAUACCGCAUAUGACCUACGGGUGAAAGCAGGGGAUCUUCGGACCUUGCGCGAUUGAAUGAGCUGAUGUCGGAUUAGCUAGUUGGCGGGGUAAAGGCCCACCAAGGCGACGAUCCGUAGCUGGUCUGAGAGGAUGAUCAGCCACACUGGAACUGAGACACGGUCCAGACUCCUACGGGAGGCAGCAGUGGGGAAUAUUGGACAAUGGGCGCAAGCCUGAUCCAGCCAUACCGCGUGGGUGAAGAAGGCCUUCGGGUUGUAAAGCCCUUUUGUUGGGAAAGAAAAGCAGCAGGUUAAUACCCCGCUGUUCUGACGGUACCCAAAGAAUAAGCACCGGCUAACUUCGUG